rnacentral:rRNA from 1 species
AGAGUUUGAUCCUGGCUCAGGAUGAACGCUGGCGGCGUGCCUAACACAUGCAAGUCGAACGAAGCAAUUGAAGGAAGUUUUCGGAUGGAAUUCGAUUGACUGAGUGGCGGACGGGUGAGUAACGCGUGGAUAACCUGCCUCACACUGGGGGAUAACAGUUAGAAAUGACUGCUAAUACCGCAUAAGCGCACAGUACCGCAUGGUACAGUGUGAAAAACUCCGGUGGUGUGAGAUGGAUCCGCGUCUGAUUAGCCAGUUGGCGGGGUAACGGCCCACCAAAGCGACGAUCAGUAGCCGACCUGAGAGGGUGACCGGCCACAUUGGGACUGAGACACGGCCCAAACUCCUACGGGAGGCAGCAGUGGGGAAUAUUGCACAAUGGGCGAAAGCCUGAUGCAGCGACGCCGCGUGAGUGAAGAAGUAUUUCGGUAUGUAAAGCUCUAUCAGCAGGGAAGAAAAUGACGGUACCUGACUAAGAAGCCCCGGCUAACUACGUGCCAGCAGCCGCGGUAAUACGUAGGGGGCAAGCGUUAUCCGGAUUUACUGGGUGUAAAGGGAGCGUAGACGGCGAAGCAAGUCUGAAGUGAAAACCCAGGGCUCAACCCUGGGACUGCUUUGGAAACUGUUUUGCUAGAGUGUCGGAGAGGUAAGUGGAAUUCCUAGUGUAGCGGUGAAAUGCGUAGAUAUUAGGAGGAACACCAGUGGCGAAGGCGGCUUACUGGACGAUAACUGACGUUGAGGCUCGAAAGCGUGGGGAGCAAACAGGAUUAGAUACCCUGGUAGUCCACGCCGUAAACG